rnacentral:rRNA from 1 species
GAGUUUGAUCGUGGCUCAGAACGAACGCUGGCGGCAUGCCUAACACAUGCAAGUCGAACGAGACCUUCGGGUCUAGUGGCGCACGGGUGCGUAACGCGUGGGAAUCUGCCCUUGGGUUCGGAAUAACAGUUAGAAAUGACUGCUAAUACCGGAUGAUGUCUUCGGACCAAAGAUUUAUCGCCCAGGGAUGAGCCCGCGUCGGAUUAGCUAGUUGGUGAGGUAAAGGCUCACCAAGGCGACGAUCCGUAGCUGGUCUGAGAGGAUGAUCAGCCACACUGGGACUGAGACACGGCCCAGACUCCUACGGGAGGCAGCAGUGGGGAAUAUUGGACAAUGGGCGAAAGCCUGAUCCAGCAAUGCCGCGUGAGUGAUGAAAGCCUUAGGUUGUAAAGCUCUUUUACCCGGGAUGAUAAUGACAGUACCGGAAGAAUAAGCCCCGGCUAACUCCGUGCCAGCCGCCGCAA